AGCUGGCCCAGUCGAUUGUUGUUCAAGAGUCUCUUACCAAUUUCCACAAAUAACAAUGAAACUCUUCAGUUUAUUAAUAUCUUUUCUAUUCCUUGCGGGUGUUUUGGCAGAUGAUCAGUUAUAUAUGGAUUUGGUUUUGACUACAACUUCAGUCAUCAAAGAUCUUUAUUUUGAUUCAUUAACUGGAAUGAGU